AUUGAACGCUGGCGGAAUGCUUUACACAUGCAAGUCGAACGGCAGCACGGACUUCGGUCUGGUGGCGAGUGGCGAACGGGUGAGUAAUGUAUCGGAACGCGCCCAGUCGUGGGGGAUAACGUAGUGAAAAUUACGCUAAUACCGCAUACGAUCUAUGGAUGAAAGCGGGGGAUCGCAAGACCUCGCGCGAUUGGAGCGGCCGAUAUCAGAUUAGGUAGUUGGUGGGGUAAAGGCCCACCAAGCCAACGAUCUGUAGCUGGUCUGAGAGGACGACAAGCCAAACGUGAACUGUGACACGGUCCAGACUCCUACGGGAGGCAGCAGUGGGGAAUUUUGGACAAUGGGCGAAAGCCUGAUCCAGCCAUUCCGCGUGCGGGAUGAAGGCCCUCGGGUUGUAAACUGCUUUUGUACAGAACGAAAAGGUUUCUACUAAUACUAGGAGCUCAUGACGGUACUGUAAGAAUAAGCACCGGCUAACUACGUGCCAGCAGCCGCCGUAA
rnacentral:rRNA from 1 species